CGACCGUUGAUUGAUUGCAGUAAAUUUACACAGAACCAACGUUGCAAAUUGUACCGCCCAGAGAUUUAUAGGCGACAGACAGAUCGAGACCUAACUCAGGAUGAGCAAUUUGAUCUUACUGUUGUUGCUAUUAUGCACAGUUUCUUUGGUGGCAUGUAACUUAACAGAAACCUUUGAGAAAAGAGCCUGCCGUCGAUACCAUAAAUCAUGUUCUCCCAGAAGACCAUGCUGUAUGAGUUAUCGUCGAGUAUGCAGGGUCGGAGCUCCCAAUUCAACAGAAUUCAAGUGUCGAUUAUACGGGACUGGCGAUGAGUGACAUCGUGUGACUGAGGGUAGAGGUGGAGGUAAAAAAAAACGUGACGUCAUUUGUGGAUGACCCCGGAGUCCUGUCAAAAGAAAAAACU